AUGUUCGGAGGAAGGGCGAAGUUCCAUGCGACGGUGGCCGCGGCCGCGCUGGGCCAGCAGCAGCACCAGGCGGCGGAGUACAGGGAGCUCGGGGCCUGCUCAAGGGGAGCCUCGCCCACGGCAGCGAUGGCACCAACCCACCCCGCACACUCAGGUGGGAGUAGGUUGAUACCUCACUGUCUGCUACAACCAAGAGAUUUGAAGAGUUGCAAAAGGUACGGUGACCAAGCAAGAGAGAUAACACAAGACUACAUCAACGCCACCAGAAAUGCUCUUCAACCACCAAAAACGCUCUUCAAGCAGGAGAGAUAA
rnacentral:rRNA from 1 species